rnacentral:misc_RNA from 1 species
GAGAAAUUCGCCCUCACGGGUGACUCUCCAACCCUAUGUUAUUGUACCUUCGUUGCUUUGGCGAGCCGCCUCGUGCCACCGACUUUCGCCGGUGAGUGCUCGCCAGAGGACCCAAAACCCUGAAUAUUAGUGUCGUCUGAGUAAAAAGUUUAAUAUUUAAAACUUUCAACAACGGAUCUCUUGGCUCU